GUCUUCCUGCUUCAUGGCAUUAGCUCAUCCUAGGAGAGCUGCUUCUCCGCGCCGCUCCGGACUCUCACAGGAGCCUGCCAGGCACACGUGGCCCUCUUCUGCUUACAGCCAUGCUGGCUUUGGGCUCACCUCCCAGCAACUUCAUCUCACCUUACAUCGUUGAAGUCUCCAUCUCCAAAUACAGUCACCUUCUGAGGUCCUGUGGAUUCUGUGGGGAAAGGUGACCCGGUUCAGCCCAUGCAGUGACAAUGAGGAGCCAGAUGAGAGAUCACGGCUGGGACCACACUGGCAGGGAGGGUGGUGGGAAAGGCUCUGGUCCUGCAGGCAGGUGCUAAGGUAGGGUAUGGAAGCAGUCUGCCCCAAGGGAAGGUGCAUUGCCCUGAGAGAAUGUAACAUCUAAGAAUGGAAAAUUCUAAAUAUUAUCACUGAGAAUAUAGUCCUCCUUCAAAAAUAUUUUGUCUAAAUUUUAAAGAAUGACUGCAAAUACGAUUGAAUUUUAGUACUACAUCUAUAAACUUCAAAUCUGCACAUUUGGUCAACAAUGUGUUCUAUGUGGAUGUUAAUUCAGAGACCUGUCACUUGCAAAGUUGACUGCCCCCCUCUUCCAGGAUCAAGUCAUGCCUAAGUUCCUGUGGCUCUGAACCACACAAGCUCACUUAGGGCCCAGAUAAGGUCUCUUGGUCUUGAAUUUAAAAGGUGGAGUUGAAACAAAUUUUGACAACACAGCAAUUACGAAGGCAAGGCAACAGUAUAUGAGUUCCUUCAACUCCGUCAUUUCAUGUGACCACUUGGGAUAUUUUGUGUGUGUGUGUUUAAAAUUUGAAGUAAAACAGUACAGACUGCGAAAUGUGACAUUUUUGUUUUGCAAGAAAAUAUUUUAAUUCAUAUGCAAACUAUUACUGGUGGUAAACAAUAUAUUUAACUGAAAUUCAGCCUUUUAUAAUUGUUAAGUAAUCGUUUUAAAGCC
ensembl:lncRNA